UGUACACACCGCCCGUCACACCAUGGGAGCGGGUUCUGCCAGAAGUAGUUAGCCUAACCGUAAGGAGGGCGAUUACCACGGCAGGGUUCGUGACUGGGGUGAAGUCGUAACAAGGUAGCCGUAUCGGAAGGUGCGGCUGGAUCACCUCCUUUCUGGAAAUAUGCAGUCAAAUUCUUACGCCCAUUCUUAUCGGCUGUUGUGUCAAACAACAGCAAUGUCACCGAGUUAAUUCAAGUUAAUUAGCAUUAAUUGGUGCCGCCUUCGAGUUUAUUAAUGAGAGUUAAUUAAUGAGAGGGUCUGUAGCUCAGCUGGUUAGAGCAUCGUCUUGAUAAGGCGGGGGUCGUUGGUUCGAGUCCAACCAGACCCACCAAUUGGGCUUAGUUAGUCUUAAUUGGACUUAGGUGGAGAGCUAAAAGCGAGAAGCUAAAAGCGAAAAAGAAAUCCCGGGGGAUUAGCUCAGCUGGGAGAGCACCUGCUUUGCAAGCAGGGGGUCGACGGUUCGAUCCCGUCAUCCUCCACCAAAAUAUUCAGCAGAUUGAUUAAUUCAGUUUGUUGAAAAACUUAUCAGAAGCAAAUUAAAUUAAUGCAAAGCAUGUUCGCGACAAGUCGCGAGGAUGCUUUGUAUUGAUUGAUUCAUUUCAAUUAUUGGCUGUUCUUUAAAAAUUUAUAGAGUUAAAUUAGCGUCGUUAGCGGAAACUGCACAUUCGUAAAGGUUUAGUGCAGACCGUGCCGCUAGCGACAUAGUAGUAAAUAAUUUUUUGAUUGCGUCAAAAGAAACUUUUAAUUUCGAUAGUAAUUUAUUGAAUAAUUGGAAGAUACGGCAUAACGCGUGUGGUGUAAGACCACACAAUCAUUCCUUGAAGAUAACUGAAGAGAAAUCAAAGUUAUAGGGUCAAGCGAAUAAGAGCAUAUGGUGGAUGCCUAGGCAAUGAUAGGCGACGAAAGACGUGAUAGCCUGCGAUAAGCUUCGGGGAGCUGGCAAAUUAGCUUUGAUCCGGAGAUUUCUGAAUGGGGAAACCCACCCUUCGGGGUAACGCUGACUGAAUACAUAGGUCUGCGUGGCGAACCGGGUGAACUGAAACAUCUCAGUAGCUCGAGGAAAAGACAUCAACCGAGAUUCCGAGAGUAGUGGCGAGCGAAA
rnacentral:misc_RNA from 1 species